rnacentral:rRNA from 1 species
UGAGGAAUAUUGGGCAAUGCCCGCAAGGGUGACCCAGCAACGCCGCGUGGAGGAUGAAUGUCGUAAGAUUGUAAACUCCUGUUAGAGGGGAAGAAUAGUACCGGUUGGACCGGUAUAUGACUGUACCCUCAGAGAAAGCCCCGGCUAACUACGUGCCAGCAGCCGCGGUAAUACGUAGGGGGCAAGCGUUGUCCGGAUUUACUGGGGGUAAAGGGCGCGCAGGCGGGAUAAAAAGUCAGUGGUGAAAUCCUACAGCUUAACUGUAGAACUGCCUUCGAUACUUUUAUUCUUGAGUUCGGGAGAGAGAGACGGAAUUCCAGGUGUAGUGGUGAAAUACGUAGAUAUCUGGAAGAACACCAGUUGCGAAGGCGGUCUCUUGGUCCGACACUGACGCUGAGGCGCGAAAGCGUGGGGAGCAAACA